ACAUGACAACAGAAAAUGAAGAAAAGGCAAGUUGAAAGAAUCGAAACUGAUUUGGAUUGAAAUAUAAAUAUAUCGUAAACAUCUUUAAAUGGAAAUUGAUUUUAAAAAAACUUGCCUUUCCUUUAC
rnacentral:pre_miRNA from 1 species